rnacentral:rRNA from 1 species
GAUUAACGCUGGCGGCAUGCCUAAUACAUGCAAGUCGAACGGAAGCAGCAAUGCUUUAGUGGCGAACGGGUGAGUAACACGUAGGGAACCUACCUAUACGACGAGGAUAACUACUGGAAACGGUAGCUAAAACUGGAUAGGAUCAAUUGAGGCAUCUUGAUUGAUUUAAAGAUCCUUCGGGAUUACGUAGAGAUGGCCCUGCGGCGCAUUAGCUAGUUGGUGAGGUAACGGCCCACCAAGGCGACGAUGCGUAGCUGAGCUGAGAGGCUAAACAGCCACACUGGGACUGAGACACGGCCCAGACUCCUACGGGAGGCAGCAGUAGGGAAUUUUCGGCAAUGGGGAAACCCUGACCGAGCAAUGCCGCGUGAACGAUGAAGGUCUUCGGAUUGUAAAGUUCUGUGAUUGGGGAAGAAUGGUAUUCUUAGGGAAUGAGGAGUACAUGACGGUACCCGAUUAGAAAGCCCCGGCUAACUAUGUGCCAGCAGCCGCGGUAAA